GUCUGGAUAACUCAGUGGUCUAGAGCAGUCGCCCGGAAAGCGAAAGACUCGGGUUCGAUUCCCGAUCCAGUCA
rnacentral:tRNA from 1 species